CUCUUAUUAAGAGCAGGUGGAGGGACUAGCCCGAUGAAACCCGGCAACCAUUCAGCUUAUUUUCAGCUGAAAACGGUGCUAAUUCUUGCAGUCAAAUAGACUGAGAGAUGAGAG
rnacentral:ncRNA from 2 species